GACGAACGCUGGCGGCGUGCUUAACACAUGCAAGUCGAACGGAAAGGCCCUGCUUUUGUGGGGUGCUCGAGUGGCGAACGGGUGAGUAACACGUGAGUAACCUGCCCUUGACUUUGGGAUAACUUCAGGAAACUGGGGCUCAUACCGGAUAGGAGCUCCUGCUGCAUGGUGGGGGUUGGAAAGUUUCGGCGGUUGGGGAUGGACUCGCGGCUUAUCAGCUUGUUGGUGGGGUAGUGGCUUACCAAGGCUUUGACGGGUAGCCGGCCUGAGAGGGUGACCGGCCACAUUGGGACUGAGAUACGGCCCAGACUCGUACGGGAGGCAGAGGUGGGGAAUAUUGCAGAGUGGGCGGGAGCGUGAUGCAGCAAUGCCGCGUGCGGGAUGACGGCCUUCGGGUUGUAAACCGCUUUCGCCUGUGACGAAGCGUGAGUGACGGUAAUGGGUAAAGAAGCACCGGCUAACUACGUG
rnacentral:rRNA from 1 species